GAUGAACGCUGGCGGCGUGCCUAAUACAUGCAAGUCGAGCGAACAGACGAGGAGCUUGCUCCUUCGACGUUAGCGGCGGACGGGUGAGUAACACGUAGGUAACCUACCUAUAAGACUGGGAUAACUUCGGGAAACCGGAGCUAAUACCGGAGAAUAUUUCGAACCGCGUGGUUCGAUAGUGAAAGAUGGCGUUGCUAUCACUUCUAGAUGGAUCUGCGCUGUAUUAGCUAGUUGGUAAGGUAACGGGUUACCAAGGCAACGAUUCGUAGACGAACGCAGAGGGUGAUAGGCCACCUGGGAGCUGAGCCACCGUCCAGACUCCUGCGGGACGGAGCAGUAGGGAACGUUCCGCAGUGGGCGGAAACCUGACAGAACAGCGCCGCGUGAGUUGCAGAAGCGCUCCGAUCGUGAAACCCGCUUAUUAGGGGAGAACCACCGUGUCAGUAACUGUGCACUUCUUGACGGUACCUAAUCAGAAAGCCACGGCUAACUACGUG
rnacentral:rRNA from 1 species